GUCGAGAAUCUUUCACAAUGGGGGCAACCCUGAUGGAGCGACGCCGCGUGGAGGAUAAGGUCUUCGGAUUGUAAACUCCUGUCAUGCGUGAACAAGGUUGCUUGGUUAAUACCUGGGCAAAUUGAUGGUAACGCAAGAGGAAGAGACGGCUAACUCUGUGCCAGCAGCCGCGGUAAUACAGAGGUCUCAAGCGUUGUUCGGAAUCACUGGGCGUAAAGGUUGCGUAGGUGGCGUGGUAAGUCAGAUGUGAAAGCCCGGGGCUCAACCUCGGAACUGCAUCCGAUACUGCCAUGCUAGAGUACUGGAGAGGUGACUAGAAUUCUCGGUGUAGCAGUGAAAUGCGUAGAUAUCGAGAGGAAUACCAAAGGCGUAGGCAGGUCACUGGACAGUUACUGACACUGCGGCACGAAGGCCAGGGGAGCGAACGGGAUUAGAUACCCGUGUAGUCC
rnacentral:rRNA from 1 species